UACGUAGGUGGCAAGCGUUGUCCGGAUUUACUGGGCGUAAAGAGCGCGCAGGCGGUCGGAUAAGUCGAAUGUGAAAGCCCCCGGCUCAACUGGGGAGGGUCAUUCGAUACUGUUCGACUCGAAGGCAGGAGAGGGAAGUGGAAUUCCCGGUGUAGUGGUGAAAUGCGUAGAUAUCAAGAGGAACACCUGCGGCGAAGGCGGGUUGCUGGGCCGACACUGACGCUGAUGCGCGAAAGCCAGGGGAGCGAACGGG
rnacentral:rRNA from 1 species